rnacentral:rRNA from 1 species
AUGCAGUCGACGAGAAUCACUGGAAGGAGUUUUCGGACAACGGAAGGUGAGGACAGUGGCGGACGGGUGAGUAACGCGUGAGGAACCUGCCUUUCAGAGGGGGACAACAGUUGGAAACGACUGCUAAUACCGCAUGACACAUAGAGAUCGCAUGGUUUUUAUGUCAAAGAUUUAUCGCUGAAAGAUGGCCUCGCGUCUGAUUAGCUAGUUGGUGAGGUAACGGCCCACCAAGGCGACGAUCAGUAGCCGGACUGAGAGGUUGACCGGCCACAUUGGGACUGAGAUACGGCCCAGACUCCUACGGGAGGCAGCAGUGGGGAAUAUUGGGCAAUGGGCGCAAGCCUGACCCAGCAACGCCGCGUGAAGGAAGAAGGCUUUCGGGUUGUAAACUUCUUUUGUCGGGGACGAGUAGAAGACGGUACCUGGCGAAUAAGCCACGGCUAACUACGUGCCAGCAGCCGCGGUAAUACGUAGGUGGCAAGCGUUGUCCGGAUUUACUGGGUGUAAAGGGCGUGUAGCCGGGAAGGCAAGUCAGAUGUGAAAUCCACGGGCUUAACUCGUGAACUGCAUUUGAAACUACUUUUCUUGAGUAUCGGAGAGGCAAUCGGAAUUCCUAGUGUAGCGGUGAAAUGCGUAGAUAUUAG